rnacentral:piRNA from 1 species
UAAAUGUUAGAAAUCCAUUAA